GUAACAUGACAAGUACAUAGCGGCAUACUUUUGUUUUCUUUAUCACCACUUUGCUUGCCUCAAAACUUCAUCUGAAUAUAUAGUUGAAUCUAUCAUUUCCACAAUGAUAUACUCCUCUAAAAACUGUGAGAUGGAGAAUCAACAAGAGAAAGAUAUUGCGUCUUCUUGUAGGAAGUGGAGUGAAAAGACUAUGAAUGCGUAUAUUCAUAGCCAAAUUAUGCGAAUUAGAGCAGAGGACUUGCAACUUGGGGAAGACAUAGCCAAGAAACUUAGGCAGAGAGUUGUUGAUCAGGAUGUUGCCUCGUCUGUUAUGCUAUUGUCAAGGCCUAUGUUGCCUGCUUCACCUCUUAGUGGAAAAACGGCCAUAAAAUCUGCUAACUGAUCACCAUCUAGGAAGAUUUACUGUACGCUGAGGAAUAUGGGAGACGACCGUCCACAGGGAUGAUGAAGAUGAUGUAAAUAGAUAUAGAGAUGAAGUUGAUCCUUUUCUUACACUUUCGUUUUGUAUGUUUUGCUGUACAUAUAAAGUAGGCAGAAUACAGACGAAAACUCCUCAUCCACUAUGUACCUUUAAAAAAGAAAAUACGUAGGACGAGAAGCAAAGUUAGUGAAUGGUGACUACUUACCUGUCAAUUAAAUAAAAGGUUAAUAAUGAACACGUCUCUGUAUGUUCGUCCAUGGAUAUGAAAAGGGGAUGAUAGAAUGUAAUUUACUUACUCAAACCAAGAACACGUGGCGUUUGACACAUAUAUACAAUUUCCAUGUUCUUUCGGCAAAGUUAUGCCACUAAAACGAUGUGCUCGUUAUAAAACCUAUGGAACUUACUAACGUGCCAUCACUUUGUAGGAAUUGAUUAGCGGUACAUGAAAUUGAUUUUACACUUUCUGAACUAUUUGAUCACUGCUGAACUUGAGCUAAAUUGUACACAUAAAGGCAGACGUCAAGGAGAUAACAAAACUGGAAAUAAUAAAACCACUAGAAUUUGUCGAGGUUGAAAAUAGCAAACUACAUAUCCAGAAGAAAGUUCAAUCAACACAUCAUCCUACUGAAUAUGGAUUAAUUCCAAAUUUUAA